UCGAGAACUAGUUUCGGAUAGAUAUAAAAGACGCGCUUAAAAAUAAAUUUUCUCAAUAGACAAUUGUGAUCUUCUCAACAAGGAGGUAUCUCAAUAGUCAGAUAAUUUCUCAACCUAAAGUCAUGCUACUGAGAAAAGCAAUCAUCUUGAUUUUAGGGAUGCUCAUGUUCUUGUUGUCCUGCAAUGUUACACACGCUAUGAGCCAUCAUGGAGGAGGAAAUAGUAUAUCUGAACUUCUUGUAGCAGGGCUCGUAGCAAAACUUUUAUCAGAACAUCAUCACAAGCACAAAUGUCAUUAAUGGACAUCUAUUAAGUUCAAACGACAGUCUCUGAAGGUAGAAAAUUAAAUGAACAUUUAUAGUGUUGACCCUAAACAUACACAUUUAAUUGUUCGAAAAUCCUCAUUCGUGCUUCACUUCUUCGUGCUUCAUUU